rnacentral:rRNA from 1 species
GACGAACGCUGGCGGCGUGCUUAACACAUGCAAGUCGAACGGGCCCGCUCUCUUUUUUGGGGGUGGGUUGAGUGGCGAACGGGUGAGUAUCACGUGAGUAACCUGCCCCCUGCUCCUGGAUAACUGCUUGAAAGGGCGGCUAAUACGGGGUGUGCCGGCUGGUCCGCAUGGGCCUGGUCGGGAUAGUUUCAUCUUCGGGUGUUUCGGUGGGGGAUGGGCUCGCGGCCUAUCAGCUUGUUGGUGGGGUGAUGGCCCACCAAGGCGGUGACGGGUAGCCGGCCUGAGAGGGUGGGCGGCCACACUGGGACUGAGACACGGCCCAGACUCCUGCGGGAGGCAGCAGUGGGGGGUAUCGCACAAUGGGCGGAAGCCUGAUGCAGCGACGUCGCGUGAGGGAUGGAGGCCUUCGGGUUGUGAACCUCUUUCUCCGGUGGUGAAGGCCCUGUCCGUUGCGGCGGGGUUGACGGUAGCCGGGUAUGAAGCGCCGGCUAACUACGUG